rnacentral:rRNA from 1 species
GGAUCCAGACUUUGAUCCUGGCUCAGGACGAACGCUGGCGGCGUGCCUCACACAUGCAAGUCGAACGGAACUUUUUUAAAAGAUUUCUUCGGAACGAAUUUGAUUAAGUUUAGUGGCGGACGGGUGAGUAACGCGUGAGUAACCUGCCUCUAAGAGGGGAAUAACAUUCUGAAAAGAAUGCUAAUACCGCAUAAUAUAUAUUUAUCGCAUGGUAGAUAUAUCAAAGAUUUAUCGCUUAGAGAUGGACUCGCGUCCGAUUAGUUAGUUGGUGAGGUAACGGCUCACCAAGACUGCGAUCGGUAGCCGGACUGAGAGGUUGAACGGCCACAUUGGGACUGAGACACGGCCCAGACUCCUACGGGAGGCAGCAGUGGGGGAUAUUGCGCAAUGGGGGAAACCCUGACGCAGCAACGCCGCGUGAAGGAUGAAGGUCUUCGGAUUGUAAACUUCUUUUAUUAAGGACGAAGAAAGUGACGGUACUUAAUGAAUAAGCUCCGGCUAACUACGUGCCAGCAGCCGCGGUAAUACGUAGGGAGCAAGCGUUGUCCGGAUUUACUGGGUGUAAAGGGUGCGUAGGCGGCUUUGCAAGUCAGAUGUGAAAUCUAUGGGCUCAACCCAUAGCCUGCAUUUGAAACUGCAGAGCUUGAGUGAAGUAGAGGCAGGCGGAAUUCCCCGUGUAGCGGUGAAAUGCGUAGAGAUGGGGAGGAACACCAGUGGCGAAGGCGGCCUGCUGGGCUUUAACUGACGCUGAGGCACGAAAGCGUGGGUAGCAAACAGGAUUAGAUACCCUGGUAGUCCACGCUGUAAACGAUGAUUACUAGGUGUGGGGGGUCUGACCCCUUCCGUGCCGGAGCUAACACAAUAAGUAAUCCACCUGGGGAGUACGGCCGCAAGGUUGCAACUCAAAUGAAUUGACGG